ACUCAAAUGAAUUGACGGGGACCCGCACAAGCAGUGGAGCAUGUGGUUUAAUUCGAUGCAACGCGAAGAACCUUACCCAGACUUGACAUGCAGUAGACGAUAUCAGAAAUGAUAUUUCCCUUCGGGGCUGCUGCACAGGUGCUGCAUGGCUGUCGUCAGCUCGUGCCGUGAGGUGUUGGGUUAAGUCCCGCAACGAGCGCAACCCUUAUCGUUAGUUGCCAACACGUGAAGGUGGGAACUCUAACGAGACUGCCUGGGUUAACCAGGAGGAAGGUGAGGAUGACGUCAAGUCCGCAUGGCCCUUAUGUCUGGGGCUACACACGUGCUACAAUGGUCGGUACAGAAGGCAGCGAAACUGCAAAGUGAAGCAAAUCCCUAAAACCGGCCCCAGUUCAGAUUGUAGUCUGCAACUCGACUACAUGAAGUUGGAAUUGCUAGUAAUGGCGAGUCAGCAACAUCGCCGUGAAUACGUUCCCGGGUCUUGUACACACCGCCCGU
rnacentral:rRNA from 1 species